UACAGAGGGUGCAAGCGUUAAUCGGAAUUACUGGGCGUAAAGCGUGCGUAGACGGUAGCGUAAGUCGGGUGUGAAAGCCCCCGGGCUCAACCUGGGAAUUGCAUUCGAGACUGCUCUGCUAGGGUGCGGAAGAGGGAAGCGGAAUUUCCGGUGUAGCGGUGAAAUGCGUAGAUAUCGGAAGGAACACCAGUGGCGAAAGCGGCUUCCUGGUCCAGCACCGACGUCAGGCACGAAAGCGUGGGGAGCAAACAGG
rnacentral:rRNA from 1 species